rnacentral:rRNA from 1 species
ACGGAGAGUUUGAUCCUGGCUCAGGAUGAACGCUGGCGAGAUGCUUUACACAUGCAAGUCGUACGAGAGUUUUAAACUCAAGUGGCGGACGGGUGAGUAACACGUAAGAAUUUGCCUUUAGGAGGGGGACAACAAUUAGAAAUGGUUGCUAAUACCCCAUAUGCUUUCGAGUAAAAUGGAUUUUUCCGCCUAGAGAGAAGCUUGCGGCUGAUUAGCUUGUUGGUAAGGUAAUGGCUUACCAAGGCGACGAUCAGUAUCUGGUUUGAGAGGACGAUCAGACACACUGGAACUGAGACACGGUCCAGACUCCUGCGGGAGGCAGCAGUGGGGAAUUUUCCGCAAUGGGCGAAAGCCUGACGGAGCAAUCUCGCGUGAGGGAUGACUGCCUAUGGGUUGUAAACCUCUUUUUUCAGGGAGGAAUAAAUGACGUGUACCUGAAGAAUAAGCAUCGGCUAACUCCGUGCCAGCAGCCGCGGUAAUACGGAGGAUGCAAGUGUUAUCCGGAAUCACUGGGCGUAAAGCGUCUGUAGGUGGUUUAAUAAGUCAACUGUUAAAUCUUGAAGCUCAACUUCAAAAUCGCAGUCGAAACUAUUAGACUAGAGUAUAGUAGGGGUAAAGGGAAUUUCCAGUGGAGCGGUGAAAUGCGUAGAGAUUGGAAAGAACACCGAUGGCGAAGGCACUUUACUGGGCUAUUACUGACACUCAGAGACGAAAGCUAGGGUAGCAAAUGGGAUUAGAUACCCCAGUAGUCCUAGCUGUAAACAAUGGAUACUAGAUGUUGAACAGAUCGACCUGUGCAGUAUCAAAGCUAACGCGUUAAGUAUCCCGCCUGGGAAGUAUGCUCGCAAGAGUGAAACUCAAAGGAAUUGACGGGGGCCCGCACAAGCGGUGGAGCAUGUGGUUUAAUUCGAUGAUACGCGAGGAACCUUACCAGGGCUUAAAUGUAAGUUGCAUUAGUUAGAGAUAGCUAUUUCUUCGGACCACUUACAAGGUGCUGCAUGGUUGUCGUCAGCUCGUGCCGUGAGGUGUCAGGUUAAGUCCUAUAACGAGCGCAACCCCUGUUGUUAGUUGCCAGCGAGUCAUGUCGGGAACUCUAACAAGACUGCCAGUGCAAACUGUGAGGAAGGUGGGGAUGACGUCAAAUCAUCACGGCCCUUACGUCCUGGGCCACACACGUGCUACAAUGGUCAGUACAGAGGGCAGCUACCUAGUGAUAGGAUGCGAAUCUCGAAAGCUGAUCUCAGUUCGGAUUGGAGUCUGCAACUCGACUCCAUGAAGCUGGAAUCGCUAGUAAUCGCGUAUCAGCAAUGACGCGGUGAAUACGUUCCCGGGCCUUGUACACACCGCCCGUCAAGCCAUGGAAGCUGGGGGUGCCUGAAGUCGGUAACCGCAAGGAGCUGCCUAGGGUAAAACUAGUAACUGGGGCUAAGUCGUAACAAGGUAGCCGUACCGGAAGGUGUGGCUGGAACACCUCCUU